GAACUGGGACCGGUGAUAUUGAUCUGACCCUCUGCAGUGUUCCGAGGGCUUGCUUACCCACUCCAAGUCUGUGAGUCCUAAUGAAGCAGAGCUAAGUCCGCUGAAGACCACCUUUGGGAGACUUUCAGAUCCUGGAGUGGCUGCUCCCUGAAGAGAGUCCUGGUCCUAGGAAUCUGGGAUUCUACCUGAAGUCCCAAAGAUGAACAAAUGGUAGAGAGGCACCUGACUGAGCCUGCUUCCUAACCGACUUCUCAGAACUGUCUGCCGCUGGGCUGCCUAACAGAAGCUCAAGUUCUGGGAUUCCACCCUUGAAGAGAAAUGAAUCUGCACUUAGUGAGCCCUGUAGGUCAGGACAUGUAGUUCUUGCUACCCUGAAGCUCACUAUGUACGACAGACUGGCCCCAACACACUGAGAUCUGCGUGGUUCUGUCUCCCCGGUGCUGAGAUCAAAGGCACGUGUAUAGUUAGGGUACAGGACUUUUACUUAUAUGUUAUGGC
ensembl:antisense C130080G10Rik RIKEN cDNA C130080G10 gene